rnacentral:rRNA from 1 species
GACGUAGGGCGCGAGCGUUGUCCGGAUUUAUUGGGCGUAAAGAGCUCGUAGGCGGCUUGUUGCGUCAGCUGUGAAAACCCGAGGCUCAACCUCGGGCCUGCAGCCGAUACGGGCAGACUAGAGUUCGGCAGGGGGAGACUGGAAUUCCUGGUGUAGCGGUGAAAUGCGCAGAUAUCAGGAGGAACACCGGUGGCGAAGGCGGGGUCUCUGGGCCCGAUACUGACGCUGGAGGGAGCGAAAAGCGUGGGGAGCGAACAGG